ACGCUCGACACCUACGGGAAGCAGCAGUGGGGAAUAUUGCACAAUGGGGGAAACCCUGAUGCAGCGACGCCGCGUGGAGGAAGAAGGUCUUCGGAUUGUAAACUCCUGUUGUUGGGGAAAAAGAGGAUGGUACCCAACAAGGAAGUGACGGCUAACUACGUCGCGCAGCCGCGGUAAUCUGAGCGGGCUGGCAAGGC
rnacentral:rRNA from 1 species